UUGGCCAUUACUUGGAGCGUGACUUGACUGAUAUAUUUAUUCAACAUAUCGAAAAGUUCCAGCGAUUGCGGACGUUUUCUCUGACCAUCCCCAUCAAAACAAGGAAAAACAAACUCUUUUUGAAAGCGUUUUGCGACAUGCUAAAAAGAAACAGUGUAUUGAAGAACGUUACUUUUAAUUUCGUGGGUCGGAGAGGUGUUGGCCGGCAACUGCUUGAGGAAAUUGACAGGCUGUUGGUAGACAUGAGAGAAUGGGUGGAGCGGGGCUUGCUCAUCACAUUCAAUUUGGAUGCAGAACGAUAGAAUGCUUGCUGGUGAUGUAUUAUCUAAUUGUCCUAAUACUCAGUCAUAAAUUCUCAUAAAGUGUUGGUGAUGUAUGAUCUACAUGUGUUGACAGUGAUUCAUAUCUGGCAUAGACAAUUUAUUUUCAAAUCUUUUUUUUAAUUUGAUAAUUGAAAAUAAAAAUAAUUUGAGCAGGAAAACUGUUUCCAAAGUGUCUUACUGCUAACAACGCUAACCUUGUCUCUCUGUCAGUCUGUUUUGUGUGUCUCAUCUAACUGGCCUUAUUUCUCCUGUUGAAAAAAAUUUCUAGCAAGUUAGCGGCAACGAACGAAUUGAAAUCGGCUCAGUUUUAAAUCUGUCGUUUAAUGGAGAGUUUUAAAUCUGAGCCAAUUUCAAUUCACAUCGUGAUCACCGCUACUCGCGUGGACCUUUUAAAGAUUCCAUAAUUUUCUUCACAGAAUCGUACGUUGUUCUAUUUUAAUUGUAUACUGAAAGAAAUUUAAAACAUUUGGCACGAGUAAAUUUCUUGAUGAUAUUUAAAUUAUUACUUAUCAGUGAAUGUAUUGUUCAUCAUAUGCACAUUUUUAUAAUGCUUCAGGUGAAAAUGCAUGUGAAAAUAGUUUUUUGUUUAAUUUUUCAUUAAUAUGAUAACUAAUUAAAAAGAAAUGUUUGUUUUUCUGAUUUUGUUUCAGAAAUAAAACAUGUAACUCA